AGGGCUUCUGCAGUCGGGUUAACUAUAACUCCAAGAAGGUCCUCUCUGCCCCCAACUGGUCGGCGAAGUUCACUCCGGAAGAACGUCAGAGUAGCGCUAGAGUUUGCAAGCUGUGUCUGGGACUGGAACUCACAGAUGUUACACAAUAACUGAUCAAGGCGUCCACGUAAUUGGCGGAUGCACCAAUUUGUUGCAACCGUCCUCGUUACAACAAUAUUCACAGUAGAAAUCCGUUGUGUACACCAGAUUCUCGUCGAAACCGAUGCAUUUGCCGUCAGCAGAAUAUGUUUGGUGCCAUCCGUUGUCACAUUCAUCUUGGGUUCCACAUCUAUCAGAAAUAUAUAUCAAACAUUUUGUACAAUUUAUUAAACAACUCAAACGAUCACGAUGAUUAUCUGUAAUAUUGAACUCAAUGAUUGAGAAUUCAGAUAUUUAAAGAAAAUGAGAAGACAAACAGACUUACGUAGAAUAUGUCUGUGUUUCCAUAUUUUGCACAACAGUCGUUGACAUUAACAUUAUUAUUAACUUCUCCUUUAUUAACUCGUUGAUUAAUUAAUUUUGCAAAUAACAUUGAACAAAAAAGGAAAAAAGGAACUAUUUGUUUUUAUUUAACAGUCGAAUAAUGACGGUGUAUGUACCUUGUACACAGCAAUUUAAACAAAUUUAUUUAUGUAACAAAUAAAUCAUCAAAGAUUCACCUUCUGUUGACUGUUCUGGAGGCAUCCUCUUUGUUGGUCAGUUCGUUGAUACAGAACUGUUUGUCUGCUGGACAUUCCUGCAGCACGUACAGCUGUUCGCAGAUCUGUGGUGUCCCGCGACAAACG